UGGUCCAAUUGACUAGGAAGAUUGGUUAAAAAUCACACUGCUGUAACCCAUUUCCCUGGAGCUAUUAGCCAUCACCUACCUCCACGCCUGUCCUUGAUAUGGAUACAGAUUUGUCAGGCAGCUCUCCUGUCAUCCCAUGAUGCAAAAUGUGGGAAUAUCCGUUGCUAUUAACAAGGUGCAAAAGUGCUUUUGGGGCGUUCAUGGUCAGCCAAGGCAGCAGAGUUGUUUGGACAGCUUCGAGUAAUUUUUGUCAUGCUUACCACCAGGAUAAGAACAAGCCCCGUGCAAGUGGAGGUUGAGCAACAAAGAGAUUAAACAAUUAAUAAAAUCUUUGAUGUCAACAUUGAUCUUCAGAUACACAGGCAGAUCACAGGUCAGCAGUCCAUAUCAGUCUCAGCACAACUAGAAAAACUCCUCCAUAUUUCUGUAAGUGACCUGUCUCUCGACCCAUGUAUGGAAGAGGACAUCUUUGUCUCUGGAGCAUUAUUGCAAGUAAAACCUAAUGAUACUGAGUUCCUGAGUUAAAUAAAUGCAAAAGUGGCAGCUACUGAAUAGGAAUA
rnacentral:lncRNA from 1 species